AGGUGCAGAGGAACCAGGAAGACCAGACACAUUUUUGGCUUCUGAGUUCCUGAAAAGGCUCGGGUGAAUCAACAGUUAAUGCUUUCUUCUUUAAAAAGAAAAGGUGGAGAUCCCAGGAUGCUGGCUCUCAACACACCAUUGUUAUGCUGGUGCCCUGACUGACUAAGUGUGAAAAUGCCCAAAUGAAGGGUUCUCCAUUUCUCCUUGGGUGUUCCUAAAGGGACAUCACCUCCCCUUAGUUUCAAGACCUCGAAUCAGACAACACAGCCUCCUGCCCACCAGUCACUGGCCAGAGAGAGAUCAGCACAGGGUGGUGAUCUCAGUCUCCCUGAAGCUCAGCCAAUGACAGCUUCCUGACAGGCGAAGAGAAGAGCAGAAGCUGGGG
rnacentral:lncRNA from 1 species